rnacentral:SRP_RNA from 1 species
CACUGGGUCCCUGGUGGCGGAAGCCGUUGAACCGUGUCAGGUCCGGAAGGAAGCAGCACUAAGACGUCUCUUCCGGGUACCCAGGACAACCUGGUCGGU